CGCAGGUCGAUUUUAUAGUGCUGUGUGGCAUGAAAAGGAAGCCUACACAUGACUCAGUGAGAAAGAAUGGACAGCCCAACAGAUCAACACCCACGGCCAAUGAUAUAUCAGAACACACUUCAUCACAGAUGACAGGAGGAAAGUGAAGUGGGAGGUGAAUGAUGUGCAAAGGACCAUGGAAUGUGGAACCUUACCCAGCCUGCUGCUCAGGAGGCGAUUGCUCAAGGCUGUCUUAUGUAGAGGGGUCAACAGUUGACCCACGAACCAUUUAAACUGGAAGGAAGAAUUAACCAAUACCCUGAGAGAUUGGCUACAACUACUUUUCCCUGAAAGUUAGAGUGCAGAGUGCAGGAGUGGAAGGCCAUUUACUAAUUUUCCUGUUUCCUUCACCAGUCCUCUACCUCUCUGUAGCUAAGGUCCUUCACUCAAUAUACUCAAGUCGUCUCUGCUAUGACUGCAUUCCCACAUGCCACGGCAUAUAAAAGCCUGUGAAGAAAAAACCAACACCGAGAAUUUUUUCCAUCCCUCACCUUUCCUUUGAGAACUCAACAACCCAAGCAACAUGGACCUUUUCCCAAAUACCAUUUAGGAGAAGUCACUGGCAGUUUAAGAAAAAGAUUUUUUAAAAAAGUUUCAGGGUGAGACAUCUUGCAACAUAAACUUUAAACUUCAUUCUUAGCAUCAAAGCAGCAAUAUUUUUGUGUGAGUACUUAUUUUUAAUAAACUUGACUUUUU